rnacentral:rRNA from 1 species
AGAGUUUGGUCCUGGCUCAGGACGAACGCUGGCGGCAGGCUUAACACAUGCAAGUCGCACGAGAACGUUCUGGCUUUGCCAGGACAAGUACAGUGGCGGACGGGUGCGUAACGCGUAGAUAACCUACCCUCAGGCGCGGGACAAUCGCGGGAAACCGUGGCUAAUACCGCACGUCGUCUGGAUCCCGCAUGGGAACCAGAUGAAAGCCUUCGGGUGCCUUUGGAUGGGUCUGCGUCGGAUUAGCUUGUUGGUGAGGUAACGGCUCACCAAGGUAACGAUCCGUAGCUGGUCUGAGAGGACGAUCAGUCACACUGGGACUGAGACACGGCCCAGACUCCUACGGGAGGCAGCAGUGGGGAAUCUUGCACAAUGGGGGAAACCCUGAUGCAGCCAUGCCGCGUGGAGGAAGACACCCCUAUGGGGCGUAAACUCCUUUUCUGAGAGAAGAAACCCCUGUAUGUUCAGGGCGUGACGGUAUCUCAGGAAUAAGCACCGGCUAACUCCGUGCCAGCAGCCGCGGUAAUACGGAGGGUGCAAGCGUUGUCCGGAAUCACUGGGCGUAAAGGGUGCGCAGGCGGGGCAGCAAGUCGGAGGUGAAAGCCCAUGGCUCAACCAUGGAAGUGCCUUCGAAACUGUUGCUCUUGAGUCCCGGAGAGGUUGUCGGAAUUCGUGGUGUAGCGGUGAAAUGCGUAGAUAUCACGAGGAACACCAGAGGCGAAAGCGGACAACUGGACGGGUACUGACGCUCAGGCACGAAAGCGUGGGGGGCAAACAGGAUUAG